UUUAUAUGAUGAAAACUAUAACCAGUUCUGCUUCUGAUUAUUAGGAAGACAAUCUUGGUUCUGAGGAAA